rnacentral:rRNA from 1 species
GGGAAUUUUGGGCAAUGGCCGCAAGGCUGACCCAGCGACGCCGCGUGCGGGAGGACGCCUUUCGGGGUGUAAACCGCUGUCAGAGGGGACGAACCGCCGGAGGGGGAAUACGCCUUCGGUCUGACGGUACCCGCACAGGAAGCGCCGGCUAACUCCGUGACAGCAGCCGCGGUAAGACGGAGGGCGCGAGCGUUGUUCGGAAUUACUGGGCGUAAAGCGCGCGCAGGCGGAACGGUAAGUCGGGGGUGAAAGACCGGGGCUCAACCCCGGGGCGGCCUCCGAGACUGUCGUUCUGGGGACCGGUAGGGGCGGGUAGAAUUCCCGGUGUAGCGGUGGAAUGCGUAGAGAUCGGGAAGAACACCGGUGGCGAAGGCGGCCCGCUGGGCCGGAUCCGACGCUGAGGCGCGAAAGCGUGGGGAGCAAAC